rnacentral:rRNA from 1 species
GGGUUGUGAGGUUAAGCGACUAAGCGUACACGGUGGAUGCCCUGGCAGUCAGAGGCGAUGAAGGACGUGCUAAUCUGCGAUAAGCGUCGGUAAGGUGAUAUGAACCGUUAUAACCGGCGAUUUCCGAAUGGGGAAACCCAGUGUGAUUCGUCACACUAUCAUUAACUGAAUCCAUAGGUUAAUGAGGCGAACCGGGGGAACUGAAACAUCUAAGUACCCCGAGGAAAAGAAAUCAACCGAGAUUCCCCCAGUAGCGGCGAGCGAACGGGGAGCAGCCCAGAGCCUGAAUCAGUGUGUGUGUUAGUGGAAGCGUCUGGAAAGGCGCGCGAUACAGGGUGACAGCCCCGUACACAAAAAUGCACAUGCUGUGAGCUCGAUGAGUAGGGCGGGACACGUGGUAUCCUGUCUGAAUAUGGGGGGACCAUCCUCCAAGGCUAAAUACUCCUGACUGACCGAUAGUGAACCAGUACCGUGAGGGAAAGGCGAAAAGAACCCCGGCGAGGGGAGUGAAAAAGAACCUGAAACCGUGUACGUACAAGCAGUGGGAGCACGCUUAGGCGUGUGACUGCGUACCUUUUGUAUAAUGGGUCAGCGACUUAUAUUCUGUAGCAAGGUUAACCGAAUAGGGGAGCCGAAGGGAAACCGAGUCUUAACUGGGCGUUAAGUUGCAGGGUAUAGACCCGAAACCCGGUGAUCUAGCCAUGGGCAGGUUGAAGGUUGGGUAACACUAACUGGAGGACCGAACCGACUAAUGUUGAAAAAUUAGCGGAUGACUUGUGGCUGGGGGUGAAAGGCCAAUCAAACCGGGAGAUAGCUGGUUCUCCCCGAAAGCUAUUUAGGUAGCGCCUCGUGAAUUCAUCUCCGGGGGUAGAGCACUGUUUCGGCAAGGGGGUCAUCCCGACUUACCAACCCGAUGCAAACUGCGAAUACCGGAGAAUGUUAUCACGGGAGACACACGGCGGGUGCUAACGUCCGUCGUGAAGAGGGAAACAACCCAGACCGCCAGCUAAGGUCCCAAAGUCAUGGUUAAGUGGGAAACGAUGUGGGAAGGCCCAGACAGCCAGGAUGUUGGCUUAGAAGCAGCCAUCAUUUAAAGAAAGCGUAAUAGCUCACUGGUCGAGUCGGCCUGCGCGGAAGAUGUAACGGGGCUAAACCAUGCACCGAAGCUGCGGCAGCGACGCUGAUGCGUUGUUGGGUAGGGGAGCGUUCUGUAAGCCUGUGAAGGUGUGCUGUGAGGCAUGCUGGAGGUAUCAGAAGUGCGAAUGCUGACAUAAGUAACGAUAAAGCGGGUGAAAAGCCCGCUCGCCGGAAGACCAAGGGUUCCUGUCCAACGUUAAUCGGGGCAGGGUGAGUCGACCCCUAAGGCGAGGCCGAAAGGCGUAGUCGAUGGGAAACAGGUUAAUAUUCCUGUACUUGGUGUUACUGCGAAGGGGGGACGGAGAAGGCUAUGUUGGCCGGGCGACGGUUGUCCCGGUUUAAGCGUGUAGGCUGGUUUUCCAGGCAAAUCCGGAAAAUCAAGGCUGAGGCGUGAUGACGAGGCACUACGGUGCUGAAGCAACAAAUGCCCUGCUUCCAGGAAAAGCCUCUAAGCAUCAGGUAACAUCAAAUCGUACCCCAAACCGACACAGGUGGUCAGGUAGAGAAUACCAAGGCGCUUGAGAGAACUCGGGUGAAGGAACUAGGCAAAAUGGUGCCGUAACUUCGGGAGAAGGCACGCUGAUAUGUAGGUGAAGUCCCUCGCGGAUGGAGCUGAAAUCAGUCGAAGAUACCAGCUGGCUGCAACUGUUUAUUAAAAACACAGCACUGUGCAAACACGAAAGUGGACGUAUACGGUGUGACGCCUGCCCGGUGCCGGAAGGUUAAUUGAUGGGGUUAGCGCAAGCGAAGCUCUUGAUCGAAGCCCCGGUAAACGGCGGCCGUAACUAUAACGGUCCUAAGGUAGCGAAAUUCCUUGUCGGGUAAGUUCCGACCUGCACGAAUGGCGUAAUGAUGGCCAGGCUGUCUCCACCCGAGACUCAGUGAAAUUGAACUCGCUGUGAAGAUGCAGUGUACCCGCGGCAAGACGGAAAGACCCCGUGAACCUUUACUAUAGCUUGACACUGAACAUUGAGCCUUGAUGUGUAGGAUAGGUGGGAGGCUUUGAAGUGUGGACGCCAGUCUGCAUGGAGCCGGCCUUGAAAUACCACCCUUUAAUGUUUGAUGUUCUAACGUUGACCCGUAAUCCGGGUUGCGGACAGUGUCUGGUGGGUAGUUUGACUGGGGCGGUCUCCUCCUAAAGAGUAACGGAGGAGCACGAAGGUUGGCUAAUCCUGGUCGGACAUCAGGAGGUUAGUGCAAUGGCAUAAGCCAGCUUGACUGCGAGCGUGACGGCGCGAGCAGGUGCGAAAGCAGGUCAUAGUGAUCCGGUGGUUCUGAAUGGAAGGGCCAUCGCUCAACGGAUAAAAGGUACUCCGGGGAUAACAGGCUGAUACCGCCCAAGAGUUCAUAUCGACGGCGGUGUUUGGCACCUCGAUGUCGGCUCAUCACAUCCUGGGGCUGAAGUAGGUCCCAAGGGUAUGGCUGUUCGCCAUUUAAAGUGGUACGCGAGCUGGGUUUAGAACGUCGUGAGACAGUUCGGUCCCUAUCUGCCGUGGGCGCUGGAGAACUGAGGGGGGCUGCUCCUAGUACGAGAGGACCGGAGUGGACGCAUCACUGGUGUUCGGGUUGUCAUGCCAAUGGCACUGCCCGGUAGCUAAAUGCGGAAGAGAUAAGUGCUGAAAGCAUCUAAGCACGAAACUUGCCCCGAGAUGAGUUCUCCCUGACCCUUUAAGGGUCCUGAAGGAACGUUGAAGACGACGACGUUGAUAGGCCGGGUGUGUAAGCGCAGCGAUGCGUUGAGCUAACCGGUACUAAUGAACCGUGAGGCUUAACCUUACAACGCCGAAGGUGUUU